CGCCGAGGUCGACCACUGUGCCCUAGCAAGCUAGCCGACCGCCGAUCAUCAGCCACUAGACGCCAGAGCUUGACCCCGUUUCCUGCCUCGAUUUGGUUCUCUGGUUGUCAUGAAAUAGCUCCAUCAGGUCAUUGAGGAGGGUGCUUGGAUUGAAAAUUCACUGGCAUGUGAAAUGUGAAGGUUUUAGAUUUGAAUUGGAGACUUUGAUUCAAGGUUGGAAUUUCAGAUGUGAUUGAGGUGCGGAUUGUGGAUGAUUUAC